AUUGAACGCUGGCGGCAGGCCUAACACAUGCAAGUCGAGCGGAGGGGCGGACGGGUGAGUAAUGUCUGGGAAACUGCCUGAUGGAGGGGGAUAACUACUGGAAACGGUAGCUAAUACCGCAUACUAUCAGAUGAGCCUAGGUCGGAUUAGCUAGUUGGUGGGGUAAAGGCCUACCAAGGCGACGAUCCGUAACUGGUAUGAGAGGAUGAUCAGUCACACUGGAACUGAGACACGGUCCAGACUCCUACGUGAGGCAGCAGUGGGGAAUAUUGGGCAAUGGGCGAAAGCCUGAUCCAGCCAUGCCGCGUGUGUGAAGAAGGUCUUCGGAUUGUAAAGCACGUUAAUUUGGGAGGCGUUACCAACAGAAUAAGCACCGGCUAACUUCGUGCCAGCAGCCGCGGUAAUUC
rnacentral:rRNA from 1 species